GCUCUUCUUUCUCCUUCUCGGGUAUUCUAAACCCCAAACCCAAUUUUCCCUCUCUCCCGUAAAACCCCAAAAUCCAAAACCCCUUAUCCCCUCUUCUCUCUCUCUUCUCGCGCGCCGAUGCCGGUGGCUACAGGCCGGCGGUGCUGUCGUCUUCAGUUAUUGCUCGCCGGAAUUCUCCCUACUCUGUGUUCGCGUCGUUGUUGUUGUUGAUGUUAUUGCUGCUUCCCUGUUUUUUUCUCUCCUCCCUCGAAGCUCUCUUUUUCCUUGUCGCGUGUUUGUUGUUCGCGAUUGUGCUGCCGCUCUCGACGCUGCUGUUGGGUGGUGCUCCGCCACCACCGCACGUCGUCUUGCUGUGGUUGUUUGUGGUCAGUGGUGCUAUCGCCGGUGGGUUUUUCCUUCCACGUUCUUGCACGCGUUGCUGCCGGGUUGUUCGGGUUAGCGGUGGGGUAACGGUGCUGCUGUAGCGUCGCUCUUUUCACCGAGAUGACCACUCAUCCGCUUCUUAUUGUAUCUUAAAUGUUUCAGGUUGAAGCCGUGAGUUAUUCUUUUGCAAGUUGAAGCUAAUACAAGUUGGGCAGUAUUAUAGUUGCUAUCGAAGUGAGGACGCUUGUCUUUGUAAUAGUUAAUUGUUUAUUUUCUAUAAUUUAUUUCUACAUUUAAGAGUCGCUAGUUAGUGCUCCUGAUUCUCUAUUGGUUGUUGCUCCGCGAAAGCGUUGAGAUUGUUGAGCUUUGGGAUUUGGAAAUAUUUUAUAAACUGAAAUUGUAACAGGUUCAUAUUA